GCCAGGUAUGGUGGUGCAUACCUGUAAUCCCAGCUACUGAGGAGGCUGAGAUGGGAGGAUGGCUUGAGCCCAGGUGAUCGAGGCUGCAGUGAGCUGUGAUCUUGCCACUGCACUCCAGCCUGGGCAACAGAACAGAACCCUGUCUCAA
ensembl:misc_RNA Metazoa_SRP Metazoan signal recognition particle RNA